UACAUACUACGAAAUAAUUCAAGUUUGAAAAAAAAAAAAUGAUUAUUCACCAGAUGAUUUCAGAAGAUGAUUCAGAAUUUUUAUCGUUUCGUUUAACAUACGUACAAGCAAGCGAAUCGCAGUGUUUUGACAUUUCGAAUCCAAAUAAUCUGUUCAAUUGAAACAAAUUGUUGGAUUUCUGUGUAUUUUCUUCUUUUAAUAGCCAAACAAAAAUGGAAAAAUCAGUUGGACUUCUUAAAAGUAUAUGGCCUUAUUUUGUUCAAGGCUCAACAAUCGGUGGCAUUGUUCUAAUUACAAUUACCAACCAUAGUCUGAACUCUGAAGAGAGAAAUCGACUUCGUUGGUAAAAAAAUUGGUGCAGAAAUCAGUAGUCUGAAGAGAGAAAUCGACUUCCUUGGGAAAAAAAUUGAUGCGACCAACAAUGAUUUGAGCAUCAUUCGAACCGACGUCAUUCGCCUCGAAAAUUUGGUUAUUAGCGAUUUGUAUAAGGUUGCACAUCACAUCUAAUUCAUUGUGCUGUUUUGUGGUGUCCAGCUUAUUUAACUAUUUUCUCCUUCAUUCAUUUAUUCAUAAAAUCUCCUCCAAUCCAAAGUCAACCCAACGAAGCUUGAAACUUAGGAUGGGUCGAUCGUACCAAAACAACAAUCAACAUAAAUUACAAACAAAAUCUCAUUCCAUGUAUACGAUGUAAUAUAUUUUAUUUUUUGCAAGAAAAAAUUAUUUAUACAAUUAGAGAGAGUUUGUCUCUUAUUACACCUAGGUGACCUUACAAA